AAUACACACCGAAGGGGUGGCGAGAACUAAUAUUUAUUUUUACUUUCUGCAAGUUACCGUGUACAGAAGAGUUCGGACCAUCUAGCGGAAAAAAGUCGAAGAAAAAUCCUGUAUCCAUCUGUACGAUAUCAUUCACACAAGAUUAGGAUGCUAAUACCCUUUUUGUUUGCUGCUGCCUGAAACUAUAUUAUUCAUUGCCGAGAAUAGGAUCGACUGGGGAACGAAAGACGGGAACGAGGAGGAGAAACGUUCAAGCUGCAGCGUGUUUUCGGGAUGCAUUUCGUCAAACAUUGAUUCAAAAAGGAUCUGCUGACAGUUGAAAUGAAUAGGCGACCUACAGUCAAUGAAAGAAGCUUUAAGCGGGCAUGAGAAAUUAAUUGCCAAGGUGAUUUCGCCUGCGGAGGUUUUGGGCUGAAUCUUUGUGCAGAGCUAUGAAUGUAGACAAAUUGGAAGAAUCAAUAAAAUUGCAAUUUUCCUAA